GCUGAGGUUGCAGUGAGCUGAGAUCACACCACUGCACUCCAGCCUGAGUGACGGAGUGAGACUCUGUUUCAAAAAAAGAAAAAAAAGUCUGAAAAGUCUUACAGACCCAAGGAAGAAUUUGUCUUCCUCUGUGAGAGGGGAGAUGUGCUCUGAUGAUAUAGGAGAAAACCCCAAAAUCAGUAUCAGCCCACCAACCAGGGCAGUGAAGCCGCACCCAGAUGCACCACACAUGGCAGUCCAUGAACAGCCGGGCUUUUGUAAAGGCCGGUGCUUUAUGGAAUGACGCUCUGCCGGGCCCGGGUUCUGGGGCUUCCAGUCACUCAGUCUUUUGUUUACUCAUCCAUUGCGUAUUUCUUGAGCACCUCCUAUGAACCAGAUGCUGCUUGAGGAACUGGGGUUACCAGGGCAAAUGAGACCAGGCCCCUGCCCUCGGGGGCCCCAGGUUCAGGGGGAGAGAGAAGACAAAAAAAAGGAAAAGAAGUGAGCUAAUUUCAGAUAGUGCUUAGAGCUGUGGAGAGAAUGCGUGGCACUCGGAGGCCCUGAGCAGCCCAGAUGGUGAAGCAGCUGUGGUUGUGGUGUUGAGAGUGUGACCCUGAAAAGAUGUAGAGUUGAGAGUGAGUGAAGGCCCGGGGUCGGCAGGGGCGGGGUGGCGGCUGGAGCAUGAGCUCUAUGUGGAGGAGCAGUGAGCAGACCACUGUGCCCGGAACUUGGUGGGGGUCCAGGGCCAGGUGAGGCUGGCAGAGUUUGGGGAGGGGCUCCUGGCCCAAAUCAGGUGGGCUGUGGCAUGGAGCAUGAUGUCAUCCUAAAACCAUCCUAAGGACACUUCAGACGGUCACUUUCUCAAUCUGGGCCUUGGUUUGUUGAUCUGUGGAAUGGGAGUUGCACUAGUUGAUUCCUGGGGUCCCUUCUGAAACCCCCAACUUUGUGAGUCCAUGACAUGAAACAUAACCCCCCUGCCAUGGUCUGCAGAAAGCUGUAAACUCUCCCUCCCC
rnacentral:lncRNA from 1 species